rnacentral:lncRNA from 1 species
GGCUGGUUGGAGGAGGUAGAUCACCCUUUCUGCGGGGGACGAUUUCGUCGGUGGUAGGCUGCUACCAUGAGGUUGAAUCAGAACACCUUGCUGCUGGGGAAGAAGGUGGUCCUUGUACCCUACACCUCGGAGCAUGUGCCCAGCAGGUACCACGAGUGGAUGAAAUCAGAGGAGCUGCAGCGUUUGACAGCCUCGGAGCCGCUGACCCUGGAGCAGGAGUAUGCCAUGCAGUGCAGCUGGCAGGAAGAUGCAGACAUGUACCUUCAUUGUGCUGGAUGCCGAGAAGUGGCAGGCCCAGCCAGGCGCCACCGAAGAGAGCUGCAUGGUGGGAGAUGUGAACCUCUUCCUCACAGAUCUAGAAGACCUCACCUUGGGGGAGAUCGAGGUCAUGAUUGCAGAGCCCAGCUGCAGGGGUAAGGGCCUUGGCACUGAGGCCGUUCUCGCGAUGCUGUCUUACGGAGGUGACCCUCAGACUGACAGUGAGUGAGUCCGAGCAUCAGUGGCUUCUGGAGCAGACCAGCCACGUGGAAGAGAAGCCUUACAGAGAUGGGUCGGCAGAGCCCUGCUGAUGGCUGGGCCUUGUGGGCAGCCACUCUGUGUGAGCAGGGUGUUGGGCCCAUACACUUCAAAGACCAGAGCCCUGCACUGGGAGAGUGCUCCUGGCCCAGGCUGGGAAUCACCUUUCGAGGCCCUUCAGACUCUGGCGGGGCUUGCUGUGGCCUCCCUCCAGCUAGUGGUGUGGCUGAGCAGACUCCAGGGCCAGGGCCAGUUCCCUUCUCCCCUCCCGGCCAAACCCAGACCCAGACUCUAGGAAGCUGGAAUGGAGGGCAGGGAUCCAUGGGAGAUGUCGGGAUGAAGGUGGGAGCUGGAGGUGCAGGGGGACCUGGAACAUGGAUGGGAGUGGACAGGCCUUUCUCCUUAGAGGCCAGAGGUGCUGCCCUGGCUGGGAGUGAAGCUCCAGGCACUACCAGCUUUCCUGAUUUUCCCGUUUGGUCCAUGUGAAGAGCUACCACGAGCCCCAGCCUCACAGUGUCCACUCAAGGGCAGCUUGGUCCUCUUGUCCUGCAGAGGCAGGCUGGUGUGACCCUGGGAACUUGACCCGGGAACAACAGGUGGUCCAGAGUGAGUGUGGCCUGGCCCCUCAACCUAGUGUCCGUCCUCCUCUCUCCUGGAGCCAGUCUUGAGUUUAAAGGCAUUAGUGUUAGAUACAGCUCCUUGUGGCUGGAAAACACCCCUCUGCUGAUAAAGCUCAGGGGGCACUGAGGAAGCAGAGGCCCCUUGGGGGUGCCCUCCUGAAGAGAGCGUCAGGCCAUCAGCUCUGUCCCUCUGGUGCUCCCACGUCUGUUCCUCACCCUCCAUCUCUGGGAGCAGCUGCACCUGACUGGCCACGCGGGGGCAGUGGAGGCACAGGCUCAGGGUGGCCGGGCUACCUGGCACCCUAUGGCUUACAAAGUAGAGUUGGCCCAGUUUCCUUCCACCUGAGGGGAGCACUCUGACUCCUAACAGUCUUCCUUGCCCUGCCAUCAUCUGGGGUGGCUGGCUGUCAAGAAAGGCCGGGCAUGCUUUCUAAACACAGCCACAGGAGGCUUGUAGGGCAUCUUCCAGGUGGGGAAACAGUCUUAGAUAAGUAAGGUGACUUGCCUAAGGCCUCCCAGCACCCUUGAUCUUGGAGUCUCACAGCAGACUGCAUGUGAACAACUGGAACCGAAAACAUGCCUCAGUAUAAAACAAACAUUAUAAA